rnacentral:rRNA from 1 species
ACUCCUACGGGAGGCAGCAGUGGGGAAUAUUGCACAAUGGGCGAAAGCCUGAUGCAGCAACGCCGCGUGAGCGAUGAAGGCCUUCGGGUCGUAAAGCUCUGUCCUAUGGGAAGAUAAUGACGGUACCAUAGGAGGAAGCCCCGGCUAACUACGUGCCAGCAGCCGCGGUAAUACGUAGGGGGCAAGCGUUAUCCGGAAUUACUGGGCGUAAAGCGCGUGUAGGUGGCUUGUUAAGCCAGAUGUGAAAGCCCCGGGCUCAACCUGGGAACUGCAUUUGGAACUGGCAGGCUAGAGUUUUGUAGAGGGUGGUAGAAUUUCAGGUGUAGCGGUGAAAUGCGUAGAGAUGCUGAAGGAAUACCGGUGGCGAAGGCGACCAACCUGGCCAAUAACUGACACUGAGACGCGAAGGCGUGGGUAGCCAAACGGGAUUAGAUACCCUGGUAGGCUCUGC